rnacentral:rRNA from 1 species
AAUCCAGAGAUGGAUUGGUGCCUUCGGGAACUGUGAGACAGGUGCUGCAUGGCUGUCGUCAGCUCGUGUUGUGAAAUGUUGGGUUAAGUCCCGCAACGAGCGCAACCCUUAUCCUUUGUUGCCAGCGGUUAGGCCGGGAACUCAAAGGAGACUGCCAGUGAUAAACUGGAGGAAGGUGGGGAUGACGUCAAGUCAUCAUGGCCCUUACGACCAGGGCUACACACGUGCUACAAUGGCGCAUACAAAGAGAAGCGACCUCGC